AGCAGCCGCGGUAAUUCCGGCUCCAAUAGCGUAUAUUAAAGUUGUUGCAGUUAAAAGGCUCGUAGUUGAAUUUCGGGGUUAGUAGAUUGGUCAUGCCUCUGGUAUGUACUGGUCUCACUGAUUCCUCCUUCCUGAUGAACCUUAAUGCCAUUAAUUUGGUGUUUUGGGAAAUUUGGACUGUUACUUUGAAAAAAUUAGAGUGUUUAAAGCAAGCUAACGCUUGAAUACAUUAGCAUGGAAUAAUGAAAUAGGACGUUCGAUCCUAUUUUGUUGGUUUCUAGGAUUGACGUAAUGAUUAAUAGGGAUAGUUGGGGGCAUUAGUAUUCAAUUGUCAGAGGUGAAAUUCUUGGAUUUAUUGAAGACUAACUACUGCGAAAGCGUUUGCCAAGGAUGUUUUCAUUAAUCAAGAACGAAAGUUAGGGGAUCGAAGACGAUCAGAUACCGUCGUAGUCUUAACCAUAAACUAUGCCGACUAGGGAUCGGAUGAUGUUAAUUUUUUAAUGACUCA
rnacentral:rRNA from 1 species